AUGACGUUUUCAGCAGACCACACAUCUGAGGGUCCACUGUGCCCUCCCAAAUCGGGCCCUUGCAGCUGCUCCCUCAUGGAUCCACUGGCUGUCUGGGUGAGAGUCCCAGCUGGGGUCAGGACUCGGGACCUCAUUCUCCUGCAUCACCCCCUCUCACCAGUGCCCCCUUCUCUGCUUACACUCAGCCCAGCUUUGAAUUCCAUCUUGGUGUCCACAGUGCCCAGCCCUGCCAGCUCCACAUCUCCACCUGGAGGGCUGGCGCAGACCUUGCACAAACAUGUUCCCAGUAUGACUCCUCACACUCCCAGCUCCUGGGGCCCCCCUUCUGCCACUCUGCUCCAGCCCACAGGCCCGCUGCCAUCCCCAGUGCACCCUGGCAUGCUCCCCCUUAGGCCUCUGUACUGGUGGUGCCCUCACCCACCUCGGCUCUGUGGUCCAUCAGCCGCUGGGUUCACUGUGGUGGCCCUGGGCCCUAGAGCCUGCAGCCUGUCCCAGAGGCUUAGUAGGUAUGCCUUCCAGAGGAGGCUGGCCAGUUAUCUAAUGGACUUCCAGUCCUUGGAGGCCAGCUCUGGGUGGGCGGGGCAGGAAGGGGGCAAUUACAUUCCUUCCCGGACUCUUGUACCACCAGGCCUUGGAGACAUGCCUGAGCAACAAGGAAACAGCCCCAGUGUGGCUAGCACCUGGCUCCUCUUGAGCCCCGAGGCCCCUGAAGCCCAGGGGCAGGCAGUGGACAAGAGGUUGCUGUGCCCUCAGGAGAAGGGGGGGCUCCCCGUUUCUUCCUUCCCCAAAUGCCCCUGUUGUGCAAACAGGUCCAAGAUGUCCUCCCCCACCAGGGGCACAGAAAGCACCACUGCUCAGAGCACCUGGCCUCUUCCCAGGCUGGGGGCAGGACCCCAGGUGCCCAUUGCAGCACUGCCCCCACCUGUGUGCAGAACUGUGACUGGAGGGAGGUGCCUGGGAUUUUUUCUGGGGAGGUGGGAGGUGGGCACCGUUGUAGGGUCUGUCCCAGGCCUGCUAAGCCCGACCUGGACCCUCUACCCCACCUGCACUGACCCCACAGCCCCCCAGUGCAUGCCUGGUGUCCCAACAAGCUCCCCAGUGGGCUCACCUCUCCUUGCAGGGGCCAGCGAGGCAGAAACACUGGCCUCAUUCGCCAGACUGGACAGUGUGCCCCAGAGCCAGCCCGUCGCUCUGAGUCAUUCUGCCUUCCAAAACCAUCCCCCAUUGUGA
rnacentral:lncRNA from 1 species